rnacentral:rRNA from 1 species
CCGGCGACGGGUGAGUAACACGUAUGCAAUCCACCUGUAACAGGGGAGUAACCGGAGAAAUCCGGACUAAUACCCAUAAUAUGGGCGCUCCGCAUGGAGAGUUCAUUAAAGAGAGCAAUUUUGGUUACAGACGAGCAUGCGCUCCAUUAGCCAGUUGGCGGGGUAACGGCCCACCAAGGCGACGAUGGAUAGGGGUUCUGAGAGGAAGGUCCCCCACAUUGGAACUGAGACACGGUCCAA